rnacentral:rRNA from 1 species
CCUACGGGAGGCAGCAGUGGGGAAUAUUGCACAAUGGGGGAAACCCUGAUGCAGCGACGCCGCGUGCAUGAAGAAGUAAUUCGUUAUGUAAAGCUCUAUCAGCAGGAAAGAAAAUGACGGUACCUGAGUAAGAAGCCCCGGCUAACUACGUGCCAGCAGCCGCGGUAAUACGUAGGGUGCAAGCGUUAUCCGGAUUUACUGGGUGUAAAGGGAGCGUAGACGGAAGGACAAGUCUGGAGUGAAAGGCGGGGGCUCAACCCCCGGACUGCUCUGGAAACUGUAGGGCUGGAGUGCAGGAGCGGUAAGUGGAAUGUAUGGUGUAGCGGUGAAAUGCGUAGAUAUUAUGAGGAACACCAGUGGCGAAGGCGGCUUACUGGUCUGUAUCUGACGUUGAGGCUCGAAAGCGUGGGGAGCAAACAGGAUUAGAUACCCCUGUAGUC